rnacentral:rRNA from 1 species
UACAGAGGUCUCAAGCGUUGUUCGGAUUCAUUGGGCGUAAAGGGUGCGUAGGCGGCGCGGUAAGUCGGGUGUGAAAUCUCGGAGCUUAACUCCGAAACUGCAUUCGAUACUGCUGUGCUUGAGGACUGGAGAGGAGACUGGAAUUUACGGUGUAGCGGUGAAAUGCGCAGAUAUCAGGAGGAACACCGGUGGCGAAGGCGGAUCUCUGGGCCUUACCUGACGCUCAGGUGCGAAAGCUAGGGGAGCGAACAGG